CUGUGAAAAAUAGAAAAAAUGCCAUAACAUUUUUCUCCAGAAUGGAUAAUAUGGGAAUUAGCUUCCUUUUUCAUUCUGAUGUAAGGUAAAAAAAAAACCAACCCAGGCUUUCAGUCAAAUUCUCAUCUACUUGUUCUUUUCUACUUUCCUGCAUCUUUGGACCACAAAAGUGGAACAAGGAGUCCUUUGGGAAGACAAGAGGACUUGUCUGUAAAGGAGUUCUAAUGAUGAGCAGACUCAUUUACUGCAACAGAACUGGUUCUAUUCUUACCGAUAUUAGAGAAAGGCAUGCAAGGAUUGCCUUCUUUU